rnacentral:rRNA from 1 species
UCCUACGGGAGGCAGCAGUGAGGAAUAUUGGUCAAUGGAGGCAACUCUGAACCAGCCAUGCCGCGUGAAGGAUGACGGCCCUAUGGGUUGUAAACUUCUUUUGAAUAGGAAGAAACUUAUCUACGUGUAGAUAACUGACGGUACUAUUAGAAUAAGGAUCGGCUAACUCCGUGCCAGCAGCCGCGGUAAUACGGAGGAUCCAAGCGUUAUCCGGAUUCAUUGGGUUUAAAGGGUCCGUAGGCGGAUCUUUAAGUCAGUGGUGAAAGCCGACAGCUUAACUGUCGAACUGCCAUUGAUACUGGAGAUCUUGAGUACAAAUGAAGUAGGCGGAAUGAGUCAUGUAGCGGUGAAAUGCAUAGAUAUGACUCAGAACACCGAUUGCGAAGGCAGCUCACUGGACCGCUAUCGACGCUGAGGAGCGAAAGCUAGGGGAGCAAACAGGAUUAGAUACCCUGGUAGUCCACGCCGUAAACGAUCAUCACUCGCUGUUGGCGAUAUACUGUCAGCGGCCAAGCGAAAGUAUUAAGUGAUGCACCUGGGGAGUACGCCGGCAACGGUGAAACUCAAAGGAAUUGACGGA